GACGGAGGAUGCAAGUGUUAUCCGGAAUCACUGGGCGUAAAGCGUCUGUAGGUGGUCAAAUAAGUCAACUGUUAAAUCUUGAGGCUCAACCUCAAAAUCGCAGUCGAAACUAUUCGACUAGAGUGUAGUAGGGGUAAAGGGAAUUUCCAGUGGAGCGGUGAAAUGCGUAGAGAUUGGAAAGAACACCGAUGGCGAAGGCACUUUACUGGGCUAUUACUAACACUGAGAGACGAAAGCUAGGGUAGCAAAUGGG
rnacentral:rRNA from 1 species